CCAGACUCCUACGGGAGGCAGCAGUGGGGAAUAUUGCACAAUGGGGGAAACCCUGAUGCAGCGACGCCGCGUGAGCGAAGAAGUACCUCGGUAUGUAAAGCUCUAUCAGCAGGGAAGAAAGAAGUGACGGUACCUGACUAAGAAGCCCCGGCUAACUACGUGCCAGCAGCCGCGGUAAUACGUAGGGGGCAAGCGUUAUCCGGAUUUACUGGGUGUAAAGGGAGCGUAGACGGCGAUGCAAGUCUGAAGUGAAAGGCGGGGGCCCAACCCCCGGACUGCUUUGGAAACUGUAUAGCUGGAGUGCAGGAGAGGUAAGUGGAAUUCCUAGUGUAGCGGUGAAAUGCGUAGAUAUUAGGAGGAACACCAGUGGCGAAGGCGGCUUACUGGACUGUAACUGGCGUUGAGGCUCGAAAGCGUGGGGAGCAAACAGGAUUAGAUACCCGUGUAGC
rnacentral:rRNA from 1 species